CAAUAAUCAAACUGCCGGUGUAACAUGAUGGUCUACGUGAGAUCUUUGUUUUGCCUUGUGGAGCUGUAUAUAAUAAAGCGAGACAUUACUAACUGAGAACAGCAGAGACAGAGGCAUGAGGGGAUCAAAGCACAUAAUGAAGAGGCCUGGACAUGCUUUACGAGUUCAUAAACAAAAUAUCUCGGUCCUCACCCGGGCACUGCCAUAACGAUUUACGAUUCAGAGUGGAAGCAUCUCUCAGGAAUGCAACUUUAAGGACUACGAUCUGU